rnacentral:rRNA from 1 species
AAAGGAAUUGACGGGGGCCCGCACAAGCGGUGGAGCAUGUGGUUUAAUUCGAUGCAACGCGAAGAACCUUACCAGGUCUUGACAUCCAGCGAAUCUUUAGGAAACUAGAGAGUGCCUUCGGGAGCGUUGAGACAGGUGGUGCAUGGUUGUCGUCAGCUCGUGUCGUGAGAUGUUGGGUUAAGUCCCGCAACGAGCGCAACCCUUGCUAUUAGUUGCUAACAGAUCAAGCUGAGCACUCUAAUGGGACUGCCGGUGACAAGCCGGAGGAAGGUGGGGAUGACGUCAAAUCAUCAUGCCCUUUAUGACCUGGGCUACACACGUGCUACAAUGGAUGGUACAGAGAGCAGCGAAGCAGCGAUGUGAAGCGAAUCUCAAAAAGCCAUUCUCAGUUCGGAUUGGAGUCUGCAACUCGACUCCAUGAAGUCGGAAUCGCUAGUAAUCGCGAAUCAGCAUGUCGCGGUGAAUGCGUUCCCGGGCCUUGUACACACCGCCCGU